rnacentral:rRNA from 1 species
ACUCCUGCGGGAGGCAGCAGUGGGGAAUAUUGCACAAUGGGCGCAAGCCUGAUGCAGCCAUGCCGCGUGUAUGAAGAAGGCCUUCGGGUUGUAAAGUACUUUCAGCGGGGAGGAAGGCAAUACGGUUAAUAACCGUGUUGAUUGACGUUACCCGCAGAAGAAGCACCGGCUAACUCCGUGCCAGCAGCCGCGGUAAUACGGAGGGUGCAAGCGUUAAUCGGCAUUACUGGGCGUAAAGCGCACGCAGGCGGUCUGUCAAGUCGGAUGUGAAAUCCCCGGGCUCAACCUGGGAACUGCAUUCGAAACUGGCAGGCUUGAGUCUUGUAGAGGGGGGUAGAAUUCCAGGUGUAGCGGUGAAAUGCGUAGAGAUCUGGAGGAAUACCGGUGGCGAAGGCGGCCCCCUGGACAAAGACUGACGCUCAGGUGCGAAAGCGUGGGGAGCAAACAGGAUUAGAAACCCCAGUAGUCCC